CUCCAAGUUGGGAGAAAGGGCUACACUACUAGAAAAUUGGCCUUUAAAGACGCUUGCAUAGCAACGCUCAAUAAUAAUAGUGCUGAUACAUUGUAAGGGAUUUGUAAAUUGAAACACUAUUAAAAAGUGGUACUUUAUAACGUUGCUACAGGAAAAUGAUUGGUUUCUAAAAAAACAAAAAUAAAAAAGGCGUAAAGGGAAGCGCACUAAUACAGUGAAAAAUUAAUGAAAUAUUUCAAAGUUCCCGGCCUCUACUUGCAAAAAGUUGAAUCCCUAAAAAAAAUUUCUCUAUUUCUCUCUCUAACUUCUCUCUAAUUUCCCAAAGCACUUCAGCCAAUUGCUCGUUCUUCACAAGAUCAACUACAAAUAUAAUUUCUUGAUUGCUAAAAGGUUGUUGAUAUUCUGUGCGAUAAAGUCACGAUAUUCGGUGCAGAAAUAGAAAAACACAAUACCCAGCUUCAAUGUUCAUAUUCUGCAAUGGUGAAGAAGAAGAGUACAAAAAGUCGUCAGAUGAUGCAGGUGGUUCUAUACGUGAAUAUUGUUAUAAAGCUCCUUCAAAGGUAAAAGCAAUGCUUAAAGAGUCUAUUCAGGGUAAUGUAGUACCUAAGAAGGUCAAAAUGGUACCUAAGAAGGCCAAAACAGUACCUGAAGAGUCUGCUAAGGGUAAUCUAGUACCUACGAAGGUCAAAACAGUUCGUAAGAAUGUCAAAACAGUACCUGAUGUAAAGAAGAGAAAGAGGAGUCCUCAACUGGAGUUGGAAUUGGAUUUUGAUUUUGAUUCUGAUUCUGAUACUUCACUAUAAGAGAAUUUGUUUUCAAUGAUUCUUGAUUUGCAUUUUUUUAUUAUAUUUUGUUUGCAAUCUAUAUUGUUUUAGUUACUUUUUUCUUAAAAAAAAAAAUUAUUUAGGGUCUAAAAACCUUUGAUGACAUGGUGUAUACCACAUACCUUGGGUAAUUUGGUGAAGAACUUUAGUGAGAAACAAAAAUAAGCUGUUAAAGAAGUUGGUUUUGGCGGUUUGUUACAUUUAAAAUUGAAAACACUCUGUCGUAAAAUGCUUCCUUGGCUUGUUAAAAACUUUAAAGGUGGUAACUGCAUGUGUACCGUUGCUAGUGGUAAGGAAUUUGUAGUUACUAAGAAUGAUGUAUGUGAUGUGUUUUGCUUGCCAAUGGGUGAUAUUCCUGUUCUUAAACUCAAGAAAAAUGUUAAAGCUGCAAGUGUAGACAACUGUAUUCUUCAGGCAUGGAGAUCUGAUUUGGAUGUUUUGGAUAAGCAAGCUAUUCCUUUGUCAAUAUUAGAGUCUCGGAUGCAGUAGUUGGUUGAUGGAGGGGUAGAAUUUAAGAGGUUUUUUGUGGUUCAUGCUAUGUGUAGCUUUUUAACUCCUACUCCUAAUAGGACAGUUUCUUUGAAGUUGCUAAAGGUUGUUGAAGAAGUUGAUGGAAUAAAAACUUUUUAUUGAUGUUCUUAUGUUUUGAGGAAGUUAGUUAUAAUGUUCGACCUUUCUAUCAAAUACAUUGUACAUAGCGGUGGUGGUUGUUUUGGUGUAGUAUAACAAGGAUCUUACUGCUCAGAGCGUGAGUGGAUGUGUUGUUGGUUUUGCAAAUUUUGUAUUUUCAUUGUUUAAACUUUCAAGGACGAAAAGAAAAGUUGUAGCCUUCUUUUGAUUCAACAUUGGACAGAUGUUAAGGUUGAGAGUCGAAUUAAUUUAGAGGUUAAAGUUGGUGGUUUUGGGCAGGGACCAUAUCUACAUAUCCUUUGUCACAGCCUGCAAUUAGCCAAACUGUUGUUAAGAAACCUCUUACUUUGGGAUUUGAUCAGAGUGAUUUAAAUGUUGGUGGUGCUUGUUCAAGUGAUACAAUUGGCUGCUUUGUUCAAUUUGAGCUUUCAGAUGGUGUCAUGACAGAUGAUGAAAUCAAACAAAUUUCAACUGAUGUUGUUCAUGAAUCAUUUCUUUUGCUUAAAAGAAAUAUGUAUGUUUUUUCAAGCGUUCAAUCAAAGGAUUUUAAAACUUUGAGUGAUUUGGUUACCAAUGUUCUUUUUGAAAGAAUUACUUCAUUGUCUUUUGAGGAUCCUGUAGCAGUUUCUCAAACUCAACAAUUACUCUCUGAUCCUCAUUAUCAUAAGCUUUUGAAUGGUAUAAUUAAGGAGUGUAUGAAGAUGAAAUCUCCACAUGAGUUUUUCAGUUUCGUGAAGAAGAUGGUCUUGAACGUCGUAAUAAUGAAAAUGUUCCUUACUCUGGUUAUAAUGAAGAUGUUCCUGGACCUAAUGAAGAUGUUCCUGAACCUCCUAUCAGAUCUAUAAAUCUUUAUGUUCACUGGACUAUGGGCCAGUAGGUCAGAAGGUGCCUUUUGUGACUCUUUUUAUGAGGGGUAACACUCGGAUUUUUGAGCGUUUGCCUCAGUUACAUUUGGAAGUUCUUGAUUAUUGUUUGCUGAAGGAUGAAUCAAUGUAUAAGAAGUUAAGUGUCAUUUUCAGUCAUCAAUAUUCUUUAUCUGUUUUUUUUUACCUUGAUUUAUUUAAUGCUUAUCGUAUUUUUUAUCGUUGCAGUAAGAACCUUGUGACUUUUGGGUUGAAUUUUCUAGUUCCAAGAGAAGAUAUGGUGUGUCCAUUGCCGCUCCACUUAAGAUUCGAUGGUGCAUUGUUGAUUGCUAUGCUCUGUAUUUGAAUGAGGUAGCAUGUUUUGAGUCUUCUGGUCCUCAAAGAUUCUUUUUUGGUGUGAGGCAAAGUGUAAGUAACUUGAUAUUUUUAUAUUUAAACACAUUGAUUUUAUAUUUAUAUAUUGACCUCAUAGUUUAAUAGUUUACAUUGUUGCACGUUUGUGAGAAUGAGAAAGGUGGCAAUUCUAUUGUUGUUAACGAUUUGCAUGGUAUAUGGGAAGGGUGGGUCAGCUACGAGAAUCCUGAAUGUGAUAUAAUGGAUUUUGAACUGAUUUAUGUUCCUAUUCUUGUUGAGGAUCACUACGUUUGGUUUGUUAUUGAUCAUGCAAAAGAGUUGAUUUACUAUCUUGAGAAUAUUAUUUGGUGUGAUUCUACUAUCGACUACUUUAUAAAGUUGUCUUUUCAUCUGGUAUGUUCCUGUUAUUGAAAAGUGAUAUGCUUUUUGUAUAUACAAGUUUAUUGUUUCCAUUUUUUUAUUUUUUUUGUAUUCAAUGGGUUCUUAACUUUUAUAUUUUUUACCAGUUGAAUCAAUUGGGUGAUUUUCUUGGCAAAAGAGAUCUUCCAAAGAGUACUCACUUACCUUUCUACAAGUUUACAAUUGUUGAUUUGGAAUGGAGAAAGACUAAGAUUGACAACACGGACUGUGGAGUGUUUGUCAUGUAUCACAUGCUCCAUUUUGUUGGUGAAUUGUUCAUAUUAAAUGAACUCAAAAUAAUAAGUUGGCAGAAUUAGCCAAGUUCAAUGAGAGGAAGAAAAAUGUUGAUUAUGUCAAGGAAAUUAAAGAAAGAAGAAAGGCUGCAAUUGCUGAGAAGAAAAAGAGAGAAGCAAGAAAGGAAAGAAGCAAAGGAAAAGGCAAAAGCAACAGAAGAAAAUCCCAAAGAAAAAAGGGCAAAAAUCAAACAAAAAAGUACACUCCUUCUAAAGAGUGAAAUGACUUGUUAGUGAUUAGGUGUAGUAGUAUAUUUUGAAAACUUAAUGUAUGUGUAUACAUCAAGUAUAAUUAUGUAAUUAAUUUUUCUAUGGUGAUUAGGUAUAGUUUUUGGUGGUUUUUUUUUUUUAAACUGAAUGUAGUUUUUGGUUUAUUUUUUUAUUUUUUUUUUUUUUUUUUGGUAAACUGAAUGUAUGUGCAUACAUUAAGUAAUUUGAAAUGUUAUUUUGUAUA